UCCCUGGAGGACUAGCGGUUAGGUUAUGGUGCUGUCAUCGCUGCAGCUCGGGUUCGAUUCCCGGCCAGGAAC